rnacentral:rRNA from 1 species
UGGCGGACGGGUGAGUAAUGUCUGGGAAACUGCCUGAUGGAGGGGGAUAACUACUGGAAACGGUAGCUAAUACCGCAUAACGUCGCAAGACCGAAAGAGGGGGACCUUCGGGCCUCUUGCCAUCGGAUGUGCCCAGAUGGGAUUAGCUAGUAGGUGGGGUAACGGCUCACCUAGGCGACGAUCCCUAGCUGGUCUGAGAGGAUGACCAGCCACACUGGAACUGAGACACGGUCCAG